ACAGUCUCACACCCUAUUCGUCACAUACUGCCGUUUGGUCAUGACCCCCUCACGUUCAUAGCCGACGUUGAGGGUACCCCCUAUUCGUCGCUUGAAAACGUAGAGGGUCGUCCUAUAGAUUUGAAUGCAAACCCCUCAUCUUUGAAUUUUGACGAAAUGGGUUUAUCGGUUUGCCUGCGCAAUAUGGUUUUAGGCGAUUGAUUUUAUGCUGCAAAUGUGCAUUUUGCACAAGCGUGCGGCGCAUAAACGGUUACUAUUGAUACGGUGACCAAACAUUUUCGUGGAGCGGAAACCCUUGUCUGAAUCGGUGUAUCACGACUUUUCUCUCUCUCUUUUUUAUAUAGAUAUAUUUGGUAUACAAUAAAAUGACAUAUUUACAGGGCUGUGUUUGCUGUUUGUUUAAAACAUGCCUUAAUUAACGUAGAUAUUUUAUUAUUUUCGAUCACGCACAGUUGGUCAUUCCCCCUCACGUCUAUAAGCUGACGUUGAGGGUAUCCCCCAAUUCGUCGCAUGACAACGUAGAAGGGUCGUCCGCGAUAUUUGAAUCCAAAUCCCUCAUCUCUGGAUUUUGGCGAAAUGGGGGUAUUCAUGCCUGCGCUGCAAAGUAUGUUUUAGGCGAUUGAUUUUAUGGUUCAAAUGUGUAUUUUGCAGUAGCGUGCGGCUGUUACAUUCAUUGGUGCGGUGACUACAUUUUCGUGGGGCAGAAUCCCUUGUCUAAAGCGGUAUCACGACUUUCUCUCUCUUUAAGUUAUAUGCUCUACAUUAAAAUGACUGUAUAUUUGCUGUAUGUUUAAUUAAGAUAGGACCCAGUCUCAAGGCAGUUCGUGUAAUUUAAUCUAUUGAUUCGUGUCCAUGGACACGAUUUUCCCCUUUUUUCGUGCCAGUCAGAACGACUUUCAAUCUAAUGUAUUUCAAUAGGAAGUAUUUUUCGUGCCUGCAUCACGGUUUUUUUCCUAUUAUUUUUUUCGUGUUUAUAAGCACGAAUUUAAUCUAAUGUAUUGCAAUAGUAUAUACCAGGGAGCUGUGUUGUUUUACUUUAUUUGUCAUUAAUUGAUUACACUUUAAACGCUACUUUACUCAACAUUUAAUCAGGAGAUGUUUAUCCUUUUUUAUUUGUUUAAUAUUCUGCAUGAUUGUUGUAAACCAUCGUCAGCGGUACAAAAUUGUUAAUUUACGAGAAUGCAGAGUUUUUCUACUGCUAUCGUUUACAAAUGUUGCCGUUUUUUCUGAGAAAUAUUGAUUUUUCGAUCGGUUUCGUGUGUCAAAUACAAGAGUAAAUACUACAGUACCAAUGAGCCUUAUCGACAUCUACUAUGGUGAAGGCACCAGCUAAAACUACAUGUGGGCCCGCUGCAGAUCACAAUAUUUUCUCAACAAAUGAACACUAACGUGUGCUUGAUAAUUCAACAAUACGAUGUUAUGGCCAUCAAUUUUGAUUGUUUCUACUUUGAUUGUAAAAAAAAUAAGUCAGUUUCGGACGCCUGCAUUUCCCAGAAUCCUCUCUGCCUCCGUUGCUAUGGAAUCUGAGCCAGUCCUCUUUGCUAUUGGGUGAUUUCUUCUUCGGUACUCGUGACAGGGAUUCUCUCAUUACGCGAAAAUCACUGCCAGGUGAGUCACGAUGCUUUCGUUUAAAGUUCACUAUUUGUUUAAAUGUUAUAAUUCACGCCUUUCUUUUGGCAUUAGGCUGACAUUGCCAUACCCGUACGAAAAUUAACCAUGUUUUUGUGGUAAAAGUGUAGUAACUACGGUUUGUGUAUCGAUUAUUUGCAAAAUGGUUUUAGUAAACCAAACAUGGUUUAACUUUUUUUUUCAAAUUCAUGGUUCUUUCUUAACUGUAGUAAAACAAUGGUUAAUUUUUGCAAGGGAAGUCUAAUUAAAGUCCCAUUAAUAAGCUAACGUUAACCUAGUUUAAGUUAUCAACCUUUAGGUUUAACUUAACGUGGUCAUUGCUUUAUUGUGUGAGCUUAAUAUAGUCUAAAGUUUUAAUAUUUGUCUUAUAAUAUUUGAAAGAAAAUAGGAAUCCCCACUAUUGGGGUACACUAUUUAAGCCUUAUAUUAGAGCUAAUUUACACUACAUAAUAAACAUUUUCUGUUCUCCCUGCAGAUCCUGUCAUUCGAAUCACCUGUUACAACUUAGAUUUAACGUUGCUUAUUUUAUAAACCCAAAGGCACUUUUAAGAGCCAUCCAUCCUCUCUUUCUUUAUCAUUUUCUGUCUAUUUCUUGCAACCUAUCUCUAUAUACUGCAUCUGUUGUACAUGUCUGUCCAGCUGUGUGUUUGUCUUUCUGUCUUUGCCUGCUUUGCAAUGGCCACCAGAUAUACCCCUCACAAACAGGAUCCCCACUACCAAGAGGGGAGGCUCAUGGCUCUUGAGCUGAACCAUGACCACAUUCUAGCUGAAGCCAAGAGAGCAGUUGUGGAGACGAAACGUUUAUGCCCUAGAAGAGACCCUUCACAGACCUCUAAAAGGAUCUUUGUUGGCUGGGGCAUGCCGAGUCCUUGGGAGGCAAGGAGGGUGACGCCAAGCCUCAGCUACAGGUCAGUUUUACAGGUUGAGUGCUUCCUGUCAUCCAGUGUGGAGUUUCCACCUAACUGUACCCUCAGCAAAACUAAAUCCUCAUGAGGAAUUUGGUGCAGAGAGUGGUUCUGUGGGGACCGUGAUGUAUUACGUCACAAAAAACAGCCACUCCCCAAUAGGGAAUGUGUAAUUAAUAGUUUUUUGUAGCCAUCCGUCCAACCAAAUGCAUCAUUAAAGGGGAAGAUGGAUAUUGCACUCAACACAAGUCGGCAAGAUGACAUACCGCUGUUGUAAACGCACAAACAUAUGUUCAUCAUUCAUCAGUUCUCACUUCCCUGGACUUCAACCUUGCUACACACAUGGUAUCGUUAUUAAUCGAAACAAAGACAGAUAUCUUUAUAUUUUUGUUCUCUGCAGACAAACAAAAAAUGUUAGCUGUUGCAAAGCAAUUUGGUGAGUUAGCAAAUGAUACUACUCGAGAAGUUAGGCAGAAGGAGUGCUAUACUGGGAUUAUAGAAACUUAUAAGAUGUCUCUUAAACAUUCACAAUGUGCAGAAUGAACUAACUGUUAUAAAAUAUAGUACGUGAUAAAUGUUUUUUUUUUCCAAGGGCGUUUUGACUUGCAUCAGCCACUGUAUGUCUGUUAAACAUGCAAACAGCAAAGGACCCCAGACCUGAAAGACCUUCUGAGGAGUGGAUAUUGACCAGCUUCAAUAAACACCACCACACUUUACACACUGGACCUCCUGAUCUCCUUUCAAGAACUCAAGGUCAUCUCUCCAAGAUUCUCCAGACAAGCCUUCGCAAAGCUGCUGGAGCAUCGCACGAAGUGUGGAGGAAGAUCUGGAUAUAUCAACGGCGAUGCACUGCAACGCAGCUUCUUGGAGUUUUCAUACGCUUCAUUUGAAGCAGACCAGCUCUGGUGUGGUGCUCCUUUCACCUGCCCAGCCUGAACGCUAGAAUUGUUGGCUGCAUCAGCAGAUCGAAACAGAAAGCUAUAUCACUUUUGCCCAAACAGAAGACUGUGGCUUGCAAAUAUUGGCCAUACUUGAAGAAAGUUGCUAGUGUCCUUCCUGAUCUUCAGGAGCUGACCUCUCCUUUCCUUUCCUUAAUGUUAUGCAUGCUUGAGCCACGCUACAAAGUGUGAGAUUAAAUGAAGUGGUAGGAACAGGGACAACCACCGGUGUGUGGAACAAGUGAACAGCUGCCUAUCACGUUGUGCCCGUACAACCAAAUGUAUGUCCACAGCAGGGGUGGACAUCCUUACAUUGCAUGCAAUGGGCUGGAACCAUAAAAAGUAUCUCUCUACAUCAGGCACUUUCCACAAUAUAUGUGAAAACAUCCAGCACGAGACUGCAAGGCUAGCAGAACUAAAAACAAACCUACAUCGCACAGAUAAAGGGGCGUCACAAUGGCUUUCUGAUGUGAAAGAAUGGGUAGCUCAUGAGACAUCAGAAACAUCUCAUGCCAGUCAAGGCACCACACACAGAGAACUUCAGCAGUCAAUUGAGGGGCUUUAUCUUGGUGUGAUGCUCUGCAAGCAAACUCUCUACCGUCAGAAUGACAGCAGCAAGCUUCCCUAACUGGAGAGAGCAGUGUGUCUCAGAUAUGGCCGCAGGACCUUCAUGGCAGUGGUAUGUCACUAUUCAGCAAACAUUUCAGUCAAGAAACGAUUGCAUGACCAAGUGAUGUUGACAAUGUGACUGCACGAGGAAAGGGGCAUUGUGGUGUUGGAGAUGGCUCAACAAUACACAUGUGUGCAGAGCCUGGCAGUGGCUCUCAAGAACAAGAUGGCUGAGGAGGACAAGGGAAAUGAAGGACUUUGCUGUCUCUUAAGAAGAAGAUCGUCAGUGGUGACAGAAGGGUUACAAGUCGUCCUUCAACAAUACAAGACUGCAUUAGGUCUUGAGGCCUCUGUCCUUCUACAUGUUGAAGAAGAAGAUCAAAGUGACCUCAGCAGUCCAGAUACCAGCGAGGAUGAAGAGGAAAACAUAAUUUACAUAGAAACUGCACAAAGGACUGCGUUUAAGGAAAUGGACUUGGCAUAUAUCUGUGUAGUGUUAGUAUGCUAACUACAUUAUUAUCUGUAUGCAUCCUAUAUUGUUGAAAUGUUCAACCUGUGUCUAGAUUAUCAAGCAUGUUAUUUAGCACGUUGAUGCUCCUUAAAUAUGCACAAACAUCUCAAUAUAGGUGCAACCAUUGUAUGAUAUUAUCAGAUGUAAUAAUUGAACUGAUGUUAUAUUUG